rnacentral:hammerhead_ribozyme from 1 species
ACCCAGCUGACGAGCCCCAAAUAGGACGAAACGCGUGUCCUGGAU